ACAAUUAAAAAUAAAAUAAUGGAAUGAAAAUCAAUUGUAAUUUUUUUUACUUCCCCCAAUUCCUUUUUACUUCAAAUUUUCCUCCAUCUCCACCCUUCAACGAAAUCAGCACAACGAGAUGCAAAUCAAUGCGAUGGCGAUGGACAUUCGCACAACUACAGUGGAGUUAGGCACACUGACAGUGUAAUCCGGCACAACGAUGGUGAAAUUCGACAUAUCGACGGUGGUGGAGUACAGCACAACGGAAGUGAAAUUCAGCACAUCGGUGCGUUAUUGAUGAGAAGAAAGAGGUAUCAAAGUUACCAACGUCUCUUCACUAGCUCACCCUCAGCAAUUCGUAUUCGUAUAGGCAAAUUCAUCAUCGCCGUUGCCUCAUAUUCGAUCAGAUCGAAUUUUAUUCAGUUGUUGGGUUAUAUAUAAUUAAUUGCAGAUAGCAAUUAAACUAGCUAUUGCGGAGUUCGAUUUUUGUUCUCCUAUUUGAAGGGGCAUAUCAAAGUGUGGAAAGAAAAAUAGGUGGUGAACUGCUUUAGAAGAACAUGAAGCUUGAUUGUUGUAAAUCUUUCGGCAUUAUUUUGUGGAAUUGAUAAAUUUUAAAGGGAGGGUAAGUAUUGCCCUUGCGAUUCUAAUGAGGCCUAGAUUGCUCUUCCUCGAUGAAUCAACAGGUGGACUAGAUAGUGCCCAACAUUCUUCGUAACACAGACACAGCAUUGUUAUCACAGCCUCAAAUUCACCAGCCAAGCUGUGAAGUAUUUGAGCUGUUUGACAGAUUAUACUUGCUUUCCGGAGGCAAAACAGUUUACUUUGGUAAAGUUUCUGAAGCAAACCAG